AGAGUUUGAUCAUGGCUCAGAUUGAACGCUGGCGGCAUGCCUUACACAUGCAAGUCGAACGGUAACGGGCCUUCGGGUGCCGACGAGUGGCGAACGGGUGAGUAAUGUAUCGGAACGUACCUUUCAGUGGGGAUAACGUAGCGAAAGUUACGCUAAUACCGCAUAUUCUGUGAGCAGGAAAGCAGGGGAUCGCAAGACCUUGCGCUGAUUGAGCGGCCGAUAUCAGAUUAGCUAGUUGGUGAGGUAAAGGCUCACCAAGGCGACGAUCUGUAGCGGGUCUGAGAGGAUGAUCCGCCACACUGGAACUGAGACACGGUCCAGACUCCUACGGGAGGCAGCAGUGGGAAUUUUGGACAAUGGGGGCAACCCUGAUCCAGCCAUGCCGCGUGAGUGAAGAAGGCCUUCGGGUUGUAAAGCUCUUUCGGCCGGGAAGAAAUCGUAUGGGUUAAUACCCUGUGCGGAUGACGGUACCGGCAUAAGAAGCACCGGCUAACUACGUG
rnacentral:rRNA from 1 species